rnacentral:piRNA from 1 species
UGGUAUGUGCACACAAUGUACACAUGGCCAC